AUUGAGCUCCUCUGUGAAGGGAUCAGUCAGCGGGCAGAGAGUCAGCUCAGGAAGCCGACCCUGUAAGCAUAUGGGUCUCCCGAGUUUCCACUGAGACAGUACUGGCGGUUUAUUGAGUUGAUGAUUUAUGUGCUUGCUGCUGCCCUUUCCUCAUCCAGCACUAAGAAUGCAAAGCACAGGUCCAUGGCCUUGUGUGUGGACUGAGAACUUUCUCAGAUACCCAGACUGAAUUCUGAGUGAGAGUGCAUUCUUAGAGAAAGGUA